rnacentral:lncRNA from 1 species
CUACUGCCCAAUUCCCAUACCAGUAACCAACACCAAUGCCAAGGUUCCCACCCAGUGAUUCCAAUGAAGAACAACAACCACCACCAACCCAGACUUAGGCGAUUACAGGGAAGUCCUCUUUUAUUUAUUGCUUUAUCUAUACAAUGAGGACAUUGUAAUUUUCAAGUUUGGGGGAUUUAGUUGCAUGUUACAUUUUUCAUAUUUAAUUUCAUUAGCUAGGUUGCAUAUGUUAGUUCAUGGUUUAUGUUUAGGGUUAUUUAAUGUUGCAUUCAGGUAAUCAUGUAGUUGCAUAGUAGCUUAGGAAUGUAAAUAGUUUUUAUUUAUCUUUGCAAUCAUGUUAUGUUUACCACAUUUCGUUAAUUUUUUUUUAUUAAAAAUUCAAAAAUAAUAGGUAGUUACUAUGUUCAUCUUGUAUGAGUCCAGCUGUUUGAUAGUUACUAUUUAUUUUGGCCAAUGAUGAGAAUGGGAUUGGAUAGACAAGUAUAAUACUGAUUAUUAGAGCUUUUGAUGUGAUUUCUUGUUAUGAAGUGAAUCUUUUUCUGUUUGAAACUGGUAUAAUAAGGAUAUCACAGUAAAAACAACUUGUUGAUUGAUUGAGUUUAAAUUGAUACAUAAUGGAACUCUAAAGGAUAAUGCUAGUUUGAAUGAAAGAAUGACAAGAAUAAGUAGUGAUGGCUAAAGUUAGACAAGAACCUAAGUUUGGGGGAAUAUUUGGGGUAUAUAAGCUAUAUAUAUAUAUAUAAAAAGAGAAAGAAAAAGAAAAAAAAAAGUAUGAAUAAAUACCGUGGCGUGCUUGUCUAGUUUUGUGGCCUUUGUUACUUGAGUAAGUAAGCCUGAGGGGACUGUCUUUACACCUAGCUCCCUAAGGUCUUAAUGGUCUGAGAGUCGUUGGUCGAAAGCUCAUUAAGGUAGCUUUGAAUAGCCUAAGGGAAUAAGACAUUGCAUAGCUAUAUGUAUAUAUAUAAAAAAAAAGAGUGAAUAAAACGGGAAAAGCGAAAAAAGCCCCCGUAGAUGAAAAUGAAGCAUAAGUAUCCCAUGUUGACUCUCAAUAUUGGUAAUUGUUUGAUGUUAGUUGGAUCUAGCUUGUUUUUGAAUUUCUUGAGUUUACACUGUAUGAUGCCUUCAAAGAGACUUGUUAUGUGUUAAAUUUGGUUUUAUAUCAGUUAGCAUUGUUUUUGAGCACACACGCACAAUAUCAGUAAUAACAGUUUAAGACUUGAUGAUUGACUAGGAAUUUAUUGAUGAGUUUUGAUAUGAUGUAUUAUCAUGUUUACUUAAUUUCUCUGAGGCCGGGUGAAAAGACUUGUGUUUAUCAAUACUGAUGGAUUCGUAGGCAUGUAGAUAAGUUGCAUUCCAUUCCAUUGCAUUAUGUUGCAUUUUUGUUUUGUUUUUGCUUGAGGACAAGCUAAGGUUUAAGUUUGGGGGUAUUUGAUAAGUUGGUUUUAUACCUACUUAUCCGGAAUCUAUUACUUGAAUUAUUUGCUUAAUCUCGUAUUUCUUAGUUACUUUUCAUGCAUUUUGUUUCCAUUUUGUAGAUUAUAUGCUUGGAAGCGG